rnacentral:lncRNA from 1 species
CUGACACUGUUCGAUUUUUUUUUGUCAGUCGGAGGACUUGCACGAUAUUUUUUUGUAUGCAUGUAUAUACAUUUUUUAGUUUUUUGUUUUUACAUUUUUUGGUGUAUAAUAGGUAAUUGGACAAGUACUGGUGUAAGACAUUGUGUAGCCUAAAUAAUGAGAGUACCAGUAUUCCAAAAAUGGUUGUUCUUCAUUUCUUUACUCCGACUCCUAUGAUGAACAUGUACGUAAAAAAAACUAGGGAAACUACGAUUAAUUGCCAAACGCCCCUAUCCCUGUCUUAUAAGCUCCUACACCACUAACACCAUAUUUGGAUGCAAUCACCUACAGUCACAUGAUCAUCCUUAUCACAAUCAUUCAAACUCACUAUACCAUUGAGUAAGUUAACCCUUAAUUGAAGGACCUGCAAAUUUGCUUCACUUCACCAAUACGAACGAUGAACAAUAAAGUGCGUAGUGUUGGAAUGUCCCGCAAACAACAAGGCCUUUGGUAGGAUAACUUGACUAAUAACAUGUAUGGUAGUUACAUCGUUUCACCUUCGUUUUUACCUUCGUUUCACCUUCAGUUAUUUUGUAAUAAUAAUAACUCCUUCCUUCUCCUCUUCAAAUUCUCCUAAACUCUCCUUCCUUCUCCUCUUCAAAUUAUAUCUACACCCCCUCCUCUUAAAAAAGCCUGCUGAAGAAAACUGUUAGGUCGAAACGCAUACCCCUGUACGCUAUUCCUAUACUCAAUUUCAACCUCUCGCUCUUAUAUCCUCGCCUUUGAUCGUGUCCCAUAAAAAUUUCACCUAUUUAGUUUCUACGGCCGCGUGAUUUAAUCGUAGUUUUCCUAGUUUUACGUACAUGCUCAUCAUAGGAGUCGGAGUAAAGAAAUAAAGAACAACCAUUUUUGGAAUUAUACUGGUCCUCCCAUUAUUUAGGCUACAGGGCCGUAGCCCGUAGGAAGCUCUUUUUGAUUGGGAGGGGCUGAAAGCGAGGGCCGAAGGCCCGAGGAAAUUUUUUAAUUUAGAGUCUCUGAAAUGCCAUUUUCCUGGACCCUGCAGCCCGGCUACAUUCGGAAAUGCACCGAAUGGCAAAUAAGGAUUACCACUCGAAAGUCUUGCUCGAUAUUUUUUUUCGUCCGUUUAUUCUUGCACGAUAUUUUUUUUAAGUUCAAAUUGCUUGCCCGAUAUUUUUUUGGGGAUUCUACCCACCCCCCCCUUCAAAAAUCAAAUGGUCCGUCCCUAAGGACUGGUUCGACAGAUCUUCGACGUACUCUUGCAUGGCACUUGCAUCAUUCUUCAACACAGUUUCUGCAACCGUUGUAUCGUCAACAUACUUCCACUGGUCAACAUCUGCUACACCAACAGUGUUUAUCAUAAUCAGAUAAAGCCAUGGACCAAGUUU